AGAGMCCYWMRAGMGUUAUCCGGAUUCAUUGGGCGUAAAGCGUCUGUMGGGGGUUGUAUUAGUCUCCUGUUAAAUCACGGGGCUUAACUCCGUAACCGCGGGGGAAACGGUACAACUUCGAGUGCGCAAGAGGCAAGCGGAACUCAUGGUGUAGCAGUGAAAUGCGUUGAUAUCAUGGGGAACACCAAAGGCGAAGGCAGCUUGCUGGGGCGCCACUGACCCUGAGAGACGAAAGCGUGGGUAGCGAAUGGGAUUAGAUACCCCAGUAGUCCACGCCCUAAACGAUGCCAACUAGCUAUGUAGAGUAUCGACCCUCUA
rnacentral:rRNA from 1 species